AGGAACCUUAGAGCAGCUGUUGUUUAGGACUGGUUUCUGUGUCACACUUCCUGCCCCCUCCCCUUGGAGUUGAGCAGGUUUCCUAAUGGAGUCUCACAGCCCAGCCUCAAAAGACUAUUUUCACUGGAGCUAAGAAUCAGAUCCAAGACUCUUCCCAGUUGGGAAAGAACUAUUCCCUGUGAGGAAGAAGCAGCUGUUUGUCCAGAUAUAUCCACAGGGGCUCUCAAAUGAGAAACCAUCUAGUAAAGAGGAAGAAAAGUGAGGCCCUAGAGCAGUGAUGACAAACCUAUGGCACAGGUGCCAAAGAUGGCAGGUCUAGCCUCAAGCUCUGUAGCUGGUCUUAGAUUGUGCAUGUCAAAAGAAUAAAUAUAGAGAAAUAAACCAAGUUGGGAACAGCACAGAUGUCAGAGUGGCCCAAUUGAGCUAUAGCUGAGACAAGAACUAAGUCAUAUUAAUAAAAAGAGUGCUAUAUAAAUGCCACUGUAAAUGACAAACUAUUUAAUUAAGAAUAAAAUAUGUUCAUCUAAUAUUUUUAUCAUUGUCAGUCUUUGUGUAUAGCCAUUUGCCAUGGGCACUCAGGCCCUAGAGACAGUUUUCCAAAGGUUAAUGUCAUCCCAUAAAUUUAAACUUACUUUUCAUUACCACCUUCAGAACAAAGUGCAACAUGAAUUUGUCACAGUGAUUCAUUCUGUUUCUGUGCUUCUAUUUCAUGCCUCCUCUGCUUCUCCCCGAAGCUCUCCCUCUCUAUCUACCAUCUGCUCGCUAUUGUUUCAGUUCCAUUAUAUUCUAGUCACAUCCUGUUACAUUCCUCACCACCAGAUUUUCACAUUUCACCUAAGAGUAAAGUCAGUGUGUGGGUUUAUGUCCCAAGCCUGCUAGUCCUUUGAAUGCUGUAUAUUUCAAGAUAAAAUUUUAUAAAUAAAAUUCUAUAGACACAAAAACUAAA